ACAGUAAGUUACCCAAUGACCCUUCGGUGGCUUCUUCCUAUUGCUGAAAAUAGCUAGGAGCAGGCCAAGGCUGACUCCAAUGAUAAAAAUCAUCAGCGGCAGAGGUAGGAUUUUAGCUAUCACGACGUUUCCAUCUGUACAGUUGGAGUCACCGCAAGUUGCAAGCAGGUUAGAGAACGACACCAGCCUUGCCGAGGAUGGUCCUUGCUCACCAGUGGAAUCGAUAGUCUAAGUAUGAUAUAGAAAGGAGCCUAACCAGAUACGAGAUAUGACAGUGACAGUUAGUAAAUAAACAAAGAAAUCGAUGAAGCUAAGUUACCUCUAAUACAGACAGCACUCUCGUAAACCAACGCAUGCCGAUCCACUCUUCAGUAGAAAAGGGUUGUAGAUUUGUUUUCAAAUCAAGAAGUUCUUCUUUAAGGUUUGACCAGAGAGAAACAGUUUGUGGCCCUGUAUAACAAAGAUCGAUUAGCUUGAGAAACUAUGGAUUUUCAUUCUCAUAUCAAUAAUUUUAAUGUACUUAAAUUAAUUUUAAUAGGCAUUGGGUAAACUAAACCAACACCCUUAAGCAAAUGUGACGUAGCAAACCUGGUUACGAGAAAAAGCAAGACAGAUACAAGGCAUUAUUUUUAGAUCACAUUUAUCACAUUUGUAUACGUAAGACGCAUGCAAUUUUAAAGUAAGGCUGUCACGUUUUUAUUUAAACAGUAUACCGUGGAAUCCGCUGUCAAUGUUAGAUGGGACUUCGUCCGAUUCCGUUCCUGGUAUUUCUGGACAUGAAGGAGAAUGUGGAAUAAGCUCUUCCGUGUCGUUUACAAGUAAAGAAUCAGGAUUUGAUGGUUCGCAGUUAUCGUUGCUGUCUUCGUUGGACGCAUUGAUGACCCCUGUUUCGUUUUCAUCUGUUGUCUCUAUGCUGCCAUUCUCAGAAAUGGCUGUUUGGUUUUCCACGCCACAAAUAUUCCUAUCUAGGUAUGAAGAAACAUAUUUUAGCAGAAUUCAUAAAGGAGAAUAGAAUAGAGAUAGUACUUCUUGAAUUCAGAAGCCUUCCUACAAUCACCACUAAAACGUAGAAAAUGUAAAGGGCUAUGAAACCGAUAGCAUGACCAAGAUGCACAUAUCGAUGAUAGAACACCCAAAAGACAAAAUAGACUGCGGCCAGAUAGAAAACGCAAUCUCUCAAGAAUGGGCGCUGCAUCACCGGAAACGGCUUGAUAAAACUAAUGCUCCCAGCAAUGAUUGUGGUGCAAAAAAUGCCAGCCCC